rnacentral:tRNA from 1 species
UCUAAUAUGGCAGAUAAGUGCACUGGAUUUAAGCUCCAUAUAUAAAGAUUAAUCUUUUAUUAGAA